rnacentral:rRNA from 1 species
AACGAACGCUGGCGGCAUGCCUAACACAUGCAAGUCGAACGAGACCUUCGGGUCUAGUGGCGCACGGGUGCGUAACGCGUGGGAACCUGCCCUUAGGUUCGGAAUAACUCCCCGAAAGGGGUGCUAAUACCGGAUAAUGUCUUCGGACCAAAGAUUGAUCGCCUUUGGAUGGGCCCGCGUUGGAUUAGCUAGUUGGUAGGGUAAAAGCCUACCAAGGCGACGAUCCAUAGCUGGUCUGAGAGGAUGAUCAGCCACACUGGGACUGAGACACGGCCCAGACUCCUACGGGAGGCAGCAGUGGGGAAUAUUGGAAAAUGGGCGAAAGCCUGAUCCAGCAAUGCCGCGUGAGUGAUGAAGGCCUUAGGGUUGUAAAGCUCUUUUACCCGGGAUGAUAAUGACAGUACCGGGAGAAUAAGCUCCGGCUAACUCCGUG